AGUAUUGUUUCUUUCACCAGGAGAAGUUAAAAAUAAAGGAGACGCUCUCUCGCGUUAGCCACUCUGUGUAUUUUCUUUUGUUUGCUCUAUCCGUGGGUCAGCUUUUUCAUUCUUUGGUGAACGCUGUUGUGGAAAUUACGACAUACGCUACUAAUUAAUAUCUUUGUUUGAUAAUUAUCAGAUAAUUACUGAAAAUAUAUCUAAGAUGCGUAGAUACGAUUAAUUACGAUCGUCGUUGGAAUCGCGAAGAGCAAAGAGUGAUUGGAGAUUGGAAACUAAGAUGCCGAGAGGAAUAUGGGUCCAGAUUUGUGCCACGCUCGAUCAAUAAUAACGCUAAAUUACGUAACAAUAGAUUACAUAUAGGCGUAUACAAAACGAGACCAGCGAGAUCGUGUGUCUAACGCCGGACAUACGAGUAUGUAACUCUCGUGACACGCGGAUGACCACAUUGACUAAAGUUAGAAGCGCGAAGUUAAAAGGAGAAACCAGAAGAACACGAGAUGCGAGUGAUAUCACGAUUCCUCUUCCUUCUCUCGUCGAUCAGUCGUUCGUUCCUCGCUCUCCCACGUGGAAAUCGAGAACGAAAACGAUAAUGGUAAGAACAUAAUGCGCGACAAUGGAGUGGAUACACUUGCGCAAGGCAAAACCAAUAAUAUCACGUGUCCGCUACUAUAUAAUGUCGCUUCGUGCUCGUGAUACACGACCCAUGAUAUAUAUUUGAAUUAAUAAAUAUACAAAGUACGAGAAAUACGGAUGUUUCCGCGAAUUUUAAGAGAACUUUCAACACUGUGAGAAAGUUUCGACGAAUCGCACAACGACAAAGUUUCCGAGGGCAAACUGCAAAGUAGCACGAUCCGUCCUGCAUCCACGAUCCGUGUGUACGCAUUGUUAACACAGAUUUCAUCUCCGGUACAGCUAACAAUAUACAUGGCGAAUAGCAACAAUUUAACACGGAACAGCUAACGGACAAAACAUGUUACGAAUUACAACUAUAAUAUAUGUACAUAAACCCUGGAAACCGUUACAGACCCGCGUGUAUGAAUCGAGGAAUAUAAAUCGAAGCUCAAAGGAUUAAUCGGUAUUGUUCUUGGCUCUGCCGUUAUAUUUCUGGAGAGAGAGAGAGAGACAGAGAAAGAGAGAGAAAGAGAGAGGGAAGGAAUAAUAGCAUGAUCGAGAACCAAAGUAGAUGAUGCUCGUAAUGAAUUGCGGCUAUGGUUAAAACCGAAUGCUAAUUAUCCGGUAGCCGCAGUGUUUGCGGCUACGAUAAUAACGAUUUUGUUAUAUUAUUUUUAUAUUCAUUUAUUUGAUUCACGUGGCUAAUUUUGAAAUAUAACGACGUGGGAGGACCGAUUCUAAGAGUCUGAGAGGUCUCGCGAAUGCAUGAAAGUUAAUCAAUUCAAGGACUUGUGGACAACAAAUAGUUCCAUUAAUCAACCAAAAUAGGAAAAGUAGGUCGCCAACGAUUCUCCGAAAUUGAAGAGAUUUCAAGCAAAGUUCGUUUAUGAGUGAACUAUAGUGGCGAUCUGUAAUGGCUGUUCUUUUUUUGUCCGUUGUAAACAAAUCCGCGAAGGCAAUGGUAUAUAUUCCCUAUCAACUUUAACGUCGUAAAAUUAUAUUUCGUUCUGUAAAAUUUUGCAUUAGGAAAAGUGAAGGGAACGAUGCUCGCGUGUUUUCAACGAAAGAACGAAAAAUCGGUGGAAGAACAUUGGGAAAAAGAAGGAUCUGUCUCGGAACUCUCGAACGAACGAGCCUGCCACCCAUUAUCGUUACACGACUAAUUAGCUCGAACACGCGACGCGAUUCCGGACAACGAUUUUAUUCGCGACGCUUCGCAUUACCGCGUUCACGGCCGCUAAUUUCAGUCUGUCGUAGAAAAUUCAGAAUUUCGAGGCGAAAGGAACGCUCAGUCGAACGAAAUUAACGAAUUGAAUUCGUUAUAUUUUCAAUGUUCUUCUUGACUCGCUGCAACGCCGUGACUGCCGCAUUACGGUUUACAGAUUCAAUUAAAAUCGAGCAAACACCGUAUUUCCUGUUCUACGUGAUUUUAAAGAGACCUUAAUCAAGAAAAUCAAGGCGUGAGCAAAUUGCGUUUAAAAAUUCGGAUUUAAAUAGUUCGUGAUUCGCUUGAAAGAUAAAUCUAAAUCUAUAAAGAAACUGUUGUUUCGCUAUUUAUUAUUGAAAGGACGAAUCCCUGAUGCAAAAAGACAAUCUCCAGUAAGAAGCAAACAUCAGAAGCCGAUGCUUUUUCUUCAACAAGCAGUCAGAUACACGAAGGUUCGGCUCAAUUAAUAAAUGGGAGGACGUCGUUAGCCCGAUUCCAGGGUCGUUCACUGUACCAAUCCUUGCAUCGAUCUCUCAGCUGGAUGUUAGAGAGAUCGAGAAAGCCAGUCGAAGGCGGUUGAUCUUUCGAUGGUUGCUGGUUGCUUGCGGCCUCUAAAGGGAUUACGUUUCCUCUCGGGGACAAUUCGUCAAGAUCACGUCUUGGAUCAGGCCGCAGAAUCGAGUUGUUUGUUGCUCUCCGAUAAUAGAUGCAGCAUAAUCGCUGCGGUCGCCCUGGCACACGUGCUAUCGAUUCUUCGAACCUGGUUUCCAGAUCCUCUAUGGCAGCUUAACGAUCGCUCCACUCGAUUGGCUAAUAACUUUGACAUCAAAGCGCUGAGAACGUGGCAAGAAAAUGAAGGUCCUUCGAUAGAAGAAGUUUACUUCGCUCUUCUGUCAAAACACCAGCAUCAGCUAAGAUCCAACGUGAAUUCUUAUGCACAAUGUCAAAGGACAAUUCUCAGAAGUCCAGAAAUUUUCACUCGAGGAAGGGGAAGAUCGUUUCUGUUCAGUUUUAAUUUUCCAUGUCUUUGUGGAAGUUUCUUCGUCUGGAAGAGGUAUUCGAAGGAAAGGAAAGUUUUUCCUCGAAAACGGAAUUCGACAGCUGCUCCCGUACCCUUUUUGAACGUGUCGACUCCUCGAAAGAAGGGACAACGAAGAAGAACAGAUUCGAGUGAGCGAGUUCCGUAACGUGGCGCGUACUUUGAGGCAUUCGACAGGGAAUUUUUUCUAAAUUUGGAAAGCAGGACGGGAGUCGCCUCGGGUGCUGCUUAUGACAGGCGCGCGCGUUCCAUCGUUGAAUGCCACGCGAGAGGCAGAAGCGUCAAUUUCGCGAGGAACGCGUCGAAGGAAGCUGGAAAUUGCCGCUCAUGAAACCCUCCUUUUGUUUUCCUCGAACGGUUUUUCAUUUCGCUGUCUGCUGGUUCUACUUGUCGCACGAAACGCAGCCGCGUAAAAAUCUCGUAAAACGCGCAACGAUGUCAAAAUUUCCGGAUCAUUUAAGGCUAUACGACGUAAUAAACUUUUUAUGGAAGUUCGUCGGAAAAUUUGUUUCGCGGCCGUUUGUUUGUAUUUUAUUUUCUCCUAUUUUCCCUCGAAUGCGCCGGCUACGGUUUACGCCACAGCCGAAGACGAGACCAAUUCGUUUCAUGACCGAUCGACGGCUACGUGUGAACGGUUUCAAUUUUACAUGACCAACAACCGAAGAGAAUAAUUGGUCGAAUUAGCAAUUCAAUUCCUUCGACGGCGAUCGAUCCGCGUGGCCGAUUCGUUUUAUUCGCGAAUAUUUUACAGCAACGAUCUACACACAAAAGAGACCAACGUUAGGAGGUCGCAGCACUUUUGUCACGUCCUUGAGGAACAUGUAUUUCGACGCUUUGUUAACACUGUAGCUAGUUUUGUCAGAGAUUGACUGAUAUACUAAUGUCAAUCAACUCCUGAUGAAGCUAGCUGCCAUGCUGGCACAAUGUCGAAACACAGUUUCCUCAAAGACUCGACUCAUACACGGGGGAGCCUUUAUUCCAAAAAUUCUACAAUGCCAGGCUGUAGAAGUGCCAGAUUUGGAAUUUUUCUCUCCCUAGCACAUUAUCCUGCGGCGACUCUGCACAGCACAAGAUGUCUAUACUAAUAACUAUAAGUGUUAGGAUACCUACUAAUCUCCUAAGAAUUGAAUACUUUUCUGUUGUCUAGUUGCUUCACUAUAAAUAUAUUUUCAUUCAUCUCUUAUAAAUUUAUUACUUGUACAUUAUAUUCGCCUUAUGCAAAAUAUAAAAUAAAAUAAAAUUUGUUAGAGUUUUCCAAUAAAUAUAACGACAGGGUGCCCUAAUACUUAUGACCGGCAUUGUAUGUCCUUCAACACCCUUCUUCGACGAUGUAUCAGCAUAUUUUAACGCCAACACGUCCCAAAAUGUCUUGUCUCGUCAUUCGGCCUGGCAGACAACUUCUUUAUAUCGGAUGUACGCCGUAAUCUCGCCAGCGGUCGAUCGAUUCGGGCGCUGACAGGGCUUGUCAAGCGGAGAACAAUCUCUAACAAUUCCGCGUCGAUUCUUUACCGAGCUCCUGGGACACUCGACGUUGCUGCUCAUGAAUAUCCGCGAAAGCUACAGGCCAGAAAAGAGGCCGCGAAACGUCCCGCGGAGACGGCGUCAGUCACCAGACAUCAUGUCGGCUUAAAAGUAUUGGCAAGUCUCUUACUAGUGGCGUAACACGAUUUUCAUUUCCAAAAAGGAUAAUUUU